CGGAAGAUGGCGGUGUCUGGGUGGCUGUGCGCGCUGCUCGUGCUGGGGUUGGGGCUGGCGCGGCCGCGCUGUGCAAACCGAGCCCGGUGGAGGAGCUCUCGGACGCCACGUGGCAGGAAUUGCUGCUGGGCGAAUGGAUGGUGGAGUUUUGAGUCGGGGGCUGCGAGGCCGCGGCGGUGAGGAGCCCAGGACUGCCCUCAGUGCUCCAGAUGUGGCCUCCCCCAGAGCAGAGCAGGAAGAGCACCCCUCUCGCCCUGCUGGUCGUGUUCCAUGCAUCCCAAGACACCAUUGCUUUCUUGGCCACCAGGGCACACUGCUGCCUCAGGGUCAACCCGUGGUCAACUGUUUGUCAGUUGCUGGCCAGCUGGGGCACCCAGGUCCUUCUCUGCAGAGCUCCUCUCCAGCAGCUCAGUCCCCAACCUGUACUGGUGCAUGAGGUUUUUCCUCCCCAGGUGCAGGACCCUACACUUGCCCUUGUUCAGCCCAGGGAUUUCCAGCCCUCAUCAAAAGCCAGGCUGGAUUUUUCCAUGAGGACAGCAGCGCGUCAGAUUCCCUUUGCCUGCACGGUGUGCUCGCAUCAUGUAAUUACCCAGCGUGAUCUGUUGGGCUGAAAAUAGAUUUCUGCCAGAACCUGCAGCCUGAGUGGGAGAAAUUUGCAGAGUGGGGAGAGGACCUAGAUGUCCCUGAGUAGCCAGCUGUAAAGAUGAAGUGUUUAGGAAGUACCAGGGUGCCAGAACUAAAACUGAUUUCAUAAAUCUCAUCAAAGACCAGGAAUGGAAAUCCACUGAACUUCAUUGUGGUUUGGGCCUCCCUCCUUCCUGUAUGUUUUGGUAUGACUUCUGUAAUCGUUUGUUGUCAAACGAGCACACCAAGGGCACGGUGGGACAGCUGCAGCACGUGUGCGCCUCACCUGGUGCAGUUUCCUGAGCAAGGUUUACUUUUAGGUUUCAAAUGCUUCAAGUGCUAUGCUAGAUUGAAAUGUUACAUUUGUGGUGGUUCUUCUAGGAAGCCUGGAGUUGUUACUUUGCCUACUUACAACGCUAUCUGAAUCUGCAAACUGUGCAGUUGAUUUCCUACAAAGUAUUACCCCACGCCAAGAAAUGCAUGAAGUAGAGUACUUAUUUUAGGAUUAAUAGGUUUUCUAUUGGAAAUGUGCAGUACCAGCUCCUUUCUGCAUAUUGAAGCAGUGUGCAGGCCUCUAUUCAUGAAUGUCCGUUUCUGCAGCUCAGUCAUCAGCAAUUUAUGUUGUCUUCAUGUUUUGAAAUCUCUUUUCUUUUAGACAUAAUCAGUACUUAGUGGUAAAGUUUCAUAAUAACAGGGAAAUGCCAGAACCAGCAGAAUAUACGUGGCAGAUAGCCUGGUCUUCUUUACUUGUGUGUAAACUGCAGCUAAACUCAACUGUCUGAAUAUCUCUCAGUUCUUAUACUACCCGUUUUUUUUUUUCAAUAGGCAAAUUGUUUGUUUUAGUAAGUGUCCAGAUUACUUAAUUAGUAAUAUCUUCAACAGAGUUCCAGCUGUUGGGCCAUAAAUAACUUAUGAAUUUCAGUUACUUUCAUUUAUAUUCUGUGUCAACAGGUUUAAGUCAAGGGAUUUUGUCAAGGAAUUGGUAGUUGUCUGUAUGUGGAAUAUUGUACAGGCUGAUGUCAGUUCUGAAGGUGCUCCAUAGGAAAUGGGUCCUUCCUGAAGUAACAGGCAGAAUAGAAGAUAAAAAAGGGAAAACAGGCAUGAGCAGACAGUUGUUCAACGUGCAACUAAAUAAUGACUCAUCAGGCAAAUCAGAAGACAAUAGGUAUCUCAUUAACUUGGGUAUUUUCACUUACCCUUUCUGCUUUGUUUCAGGAUGAGCAGUAUGUCAGCUUGUCAGUGUGGAUCAGGGUAUGUGCUUAGACAGUGACUUUAUUUCAAUAUUUAUGAUACUCAGUCAUUCUUGAAACGAUUCUCCUGCCUUUUGUUCUAGCACUGCCAUGGUUAUUUAACAGAAAGCUUUGGAAUGCUGUUUUGGGGCUUGUACGCUGUGUUCUUGCUGGCAGCUCUGUUCUCAGGACUGAUACUGCAACUUGUAAGUGAACCACUUGAAGCAGAUUGGUUUGUGUCUGCUGUGUGCCUUUGGUUUAGCCUUGUCUUUCUUCCAUUUCAGAUAAUGGUGUUCUUAGUGCCUUUAUUCAAGUAAGCACACUGUACGCUUCUAGUUCAGUGAAGCUGUGGGGUAAAUCUUAAUAAAAAUGGGUGUGUAACUUGGGUCUGCAGAACAGGAGGUUUAAGGGAGAAGUUUCCAUGUGUGACUGGUGCUUUCUUUAACUGCGGUUACUUGCCUGUUACGGUUUGCAGUGGGAUUGCGUAUGUGCCUAAUACUAAACUAUUUCUUCAAAAAAAUUCUUUAGGUGACAGAAAAAUCCCUCAUUCCAUUCCUGCGAGUUCUGAAAUUCCGUAUGCGCAGGGAGAUAGAACGAAAUUGUUGAAUCGCUGCCUUCUCUUCUGGAGCUCUCAGUUUUGAAGAGCUGGGGGAUUUGUCUCUUGCUGAGGGGCAACGUGUCACAGAAUGGCAGGGGCUGGAAAGGAGCUCCAGGGAUCAUCGAGUCCAACCCCUGCAGAGCAGGAUCCCUGCAGAGCAGGCUGCACAGCUCGGCAUCCAUGCGGGUCUGGAAUAUCUCUGAAGAAGGAGACUCCACCACCUCCAUGGGCAGCCUGUUCCAGUGCUCCGUCACCCUCACCGUGAAGAAGCAUGUUGGAGUGGAACUUCCUAUGCUCAAGUUUAUGGCCGUUUUGCCUUGUCCUGUCCCCACAGGCCGCUCAACAGAGGUUGGCCAUGUCCCUUGGGCUGUCCGCCUGGGUGCACGCAUCAGCCCACAGAGGCUAUGUCCCCUCAGUCCGAGCUGCUGCCUCGGCCCGGCCGCUAUGACGGGUGCCCGCCGUGAUAAUUACAAUAAUAACAGGCAGCAACACCCUCGACUUCUCAAAGGAGGGGAGAGGAGGGGAAAAGAUCAGUAAUCUUCUCAAAGGAGGGGAGAGGAGGGGAAAGAGAAGAAGGGAGAACUUCCUCCCUGCCCCGCGCUUCUGAGGAGCGCGCCCUGCUUGCGCGUCCCGCCUGCAGCGCCCCCUAGCGGCUGCUGUUCCACAGGCGGGGUUGGCGGCCUGCACUCCCGGCUCCGCCCGCCCCGCGGCGGCACCAGCGCGGCCGUGCGAGCCCGGGGGGGCUCGGGUUCCCGCUCUGAGCGAGGGCUCUGGUGUUGGGGGCUGGUUCUGACUGACCUCUCUGCCAGGAUCCCUCGUUGCAGUCGAUCCGCGCGAGGUCCUCGCUAAAAUGGCGCGGAGGAGCCCGUCCUUUGUGCGUGUUGGUGAUGCUGAAGGAUCGGCUUUGUGAAAGUCAGGCUGCCCUUUGCACGGCCUCGCUUUGACCAAGCACGUCCAGUGGAAUUCCAGAAGGAGUGAAUUAACUGUAAUGAUACUUUAAAAAAAAAUAAAAAAUUAUAGAGGUUCUAAGAGUAAAAAACAAAACACGCAAACCGGAUUCCUGUGUUCAGUGUCUCUUUUAGGACAGGACCGGUUCAGCAGAGAAGCAAAACUGCAGCUGUUAUCAUGGGAAAAAAAAAAAGCUGUAACACUACAGUGAGGGAACCAUUUGUGAUACAUUGCUGUGGAAAGGCGAGUUUGGAUAAUUCCUUGGACUGAAGCUGUACUUGUGGUCUCUAGUUGGGCCUGGCUUGGUUAUCAUGGUCGUUUGAGUCAUUUGGGUUAGAUGAUUUCUAUGGUUUGGGAAAGAGCUUUCAUGCAUAGCAGGCUUCGAGUGAUGGCUGACGGGGGGAAGUGUUCUUGUGCUGCAAAAAGAACGCGGGCUGGCUGACAAAUGAUGUUUAAAAUUCAGUUCUUUGUAACUUCUUUGCGUUUGCCGAAAAUCCUGCUGCAUAUGCAUGCGAAUCAUCUCUGCUGCAGACUGCUUCCUCCCCUCGUCCACCUACACGCUGUACAUCAAACCCUACCAGCUGUGGUGGCCAACACCGGCGCGUUUAUCUUGGAGUGGGAAGCUUAAAUGAGGAUCGGCCGAAUUCUGCAAUGAAGGAUCCUUGGCAGGGGGAACAAAUCAACACAAGGAACUGCUGACUAACCAACCCUUGGCUAGAUCUGUGUAGAGUGCAUGAUGUCCUGAUGUCCUGUGGUCACUUCUGAAAACGCCUCAUUUGUCUUCUGCUCGCCCAGGAAAUAAUGAACCUUGGCUGCUGCCAUGACAGUGAUUUCAGCUCCAAAACUGUGAAAUUUGGGGCAGGAUCUUCAGAGAUGUAUGUGGCCAUAUGCACGCUUGUGAAUCUCAUGGGCAUUGCUCCUCAGGUUUGUCCGUUGCUGUUGUGUGGUUGGCCGUGAGCCGAUGUUCCUCACCAAAGCUCAAACGUCCCAGACAGAGAUCUGCUCCAUUUGGAGCGCAGAGCUGUUUGUAAAGGACUUUGGAACAUGUCUCACCCUGGUUUACUCCAGCUUUACGGUGGAAGAAGUUGUUGGGUUGUAAGAAGGAAACCAAGCGAGGGGAAUCAUGGAGCCAUUCAGGUUAGUUAAGACCUCCAAGGUCCCCGUCCCACCCCACCAUGCCCACUGCCCAUGUCCCUCAGUGCCACAUCUCCACGGCUCUGGAACACCUCCAGGGACAGUGACCCCACCACUCCCUGGGCAGCUGUGCCAAUAUCUCACCACUCUCUUGACGAAGCAAUUGUUCCUAAUAUCCAGCCUUGGAGAUGCACUUAAAGGUUGCUUGGGCCAGUGUUAUUCCUGGAGGAAAUGUUUCUUCUACAGCAAGACCAGAAGUAAUUUCAUAGCUUAACAGAGCAUGGCAAAAGCACGAAACGAACCAGUGUGAGUAAUUUUAGUUGGAAGUUGAUAGAUGUGUGUACAAUGGGUACAGGGCCAACCUGUGCCACAUUAUGUUAUGGGGGCCCAGCCCUGGAGGUGCCCAAGGCCAGGCUGGAUGGGGCCAUGGGCACCCCGAUGUGGCGGUGCCUAAUGCAGUGCUUGGCAACCCUGCCUGUGGCAACAGUGUGGAACGAGAUGAUCUUAGAGGUCCCUUCCAACCCAACCAUUCUUUGAUCUCUGCGUUGCUUUUCACGCUGCGCAUUGCCCUUGGCCAGAGCCAGGCUGGGGAAGCAGCAGUCGGCUGGUGGCAGCAGAGCCGUGCAGCGCGCAAGCUGCUCGCAGAGCAGGGCUCAUCAGGGUUCACUCCCUCCAGAGAGUGGGGCUUUGUCACGGUCUGGAAAGGCCGGGGGGGAACGGAGCUGUGGUCCUGCCCUCGGGCUGGGGACUGCUGCGGCUGCUGGCUGGAUCGUGUGCCCCAAGGGCUGUCUGUCCCUUCCCUCGCCUUGCCGUCUCUCCCCAUCCCGACACGUAUUCCUGCCCAUCGGGCCCGGCCCACGUCUGUUGUUUCUGGCUGGAUCUGCAGAAGCUGUUUAUUUACAAAUCUCUCCGGAAUUGGUCUCUUUUGGUUAAAACUGACGCGGGCGUUGCUUGAAGGAAAGCUGAUUUUUGACAGUCAGCGUGAGGAUGGGAACAGAUGGAGGCUUUGACGAAUUCGAUAUCGCUAAAUGUUGUCCUCCUGCAAAUCAGCUUGGUUUUCCCCAUUAGCAUAAGAAGCAGGAAAAAGGAUUUAAUUUCUCCAAACGUUUCCCCUUAACGACCCACCUCUCCAGCUCAGCGAUGCGUACGGCAGCGUACCAGCGAAGCGGCUGAGCUCCUUCCGCAGCGAAGCAGCAGCGGUUCUCAGCCCAUUGCUGGCACUUCUCCCUCCCUGUGCUCUCCUCCACGGGAUGCUAAAACGAGAGCCUUCCCGGGGCCGUGAGUCAUCUGCAGUGUGAGUUACUCGUUCUGCUUCCCCGAGAGCAGGAGAGAUCCGAGCGGGGCCGCGCUUACUCACGGCUGCUCCUCCAGCGCAGCCAGCUCGGGGGCAACACAGAAGUGGAGAGCGCGGCUGCACCGUGAAUUAUUGAUAAGGGAAUAACAGCGCCGGGAGAUAAUCUCUCUGGUGGAGUGUGGAGAGUAAAUCUCUGCUGCUCAGGGAGUGAGUGUCCCCGUUAGGAGAGCUUCUCCCAGGCAGGGAAUAGCAGCAGCAGGAGGUUUUGCUUGAGUGUGGAGCACGGGAACAGGCUCCAUGCAGCAUUUCAGGGAAGGAGUUUGGCUGUGAGAGAGGCGAUUGUACCCUCAGACCUUGCUCUUCGUCUGGGAAUGUCAAAAUAUGCAGCUGAAAGCCGCAGGUCCUCCAGGAGAAAGUCAGUGAGACACUGCAAAUGGAAUUGGCGCACCAUUACCACCAGCUCGCCUUUCUCCAGGUGGACAGAUGGGGGUGACCACUCUUGCCCAACCCAGAAAUGGGUGAGCAGGGAUUCCUGUGUUCAUAGACUCAUAGAAUCAUGGAAUAGUUCGAGUUGGAAAGAGGCUGUAAAGGCCAUCUGGUCCCACUCUCCCACAAUGCACAGGCACACUCAUGGAUCUGUCAGGUGCUUUGGGCCUCCCCUAGCCUGACCUUGGCUGUCUGUGGGGACAAGAGCAUCCCAACCCCACGGAUGCUGUGCCAGCCCGGCCCUAUGGCUCCCAUCACACAAACACCUGCUGCUCCAGCUGCCGAGUGCCAGGGGCCAUGUCUCAUUUGCUCUGCAUGGCACAGGGCAGGAGGCUCACAGGCAGGGUAGGGCUGGGCAAAUGCUCCCAGUGAAAGCACCAUCUGUCACACGCACACACCGCUUGCACCGACCUGAUGCUGUCUGCUGCCCCAGCCUUGCUUUCCUGGCUCGCCAUCUGCUUUCUGCAGGAUGGGUUUGCACCGUCUGUAACAUUGACAGACCCGUAAAUUUCACAGAGCAAUGAUGUCAGUGCUGGAGCUUUAUUUCCCCCCAAAUCAUAGAAUGGCUUGGAUUGGAAGGGACCCCAAGGACCACCAAGUUCCAACCCCCUGCCACAGGCAGGGCCACCAACCUCCAGAUCUGGCACUAGACCAGGCUGCCCA